rnacentral:misc_RNA from 1 species
UCUCUGUUUUGAAGUCAAAGCUCUAUCCAGGAAGUUCCCACUGACCUAUUGACAAUAAGCAAUAUAUAAUUCAGCACUAUAUAAUAAAGUAAAACAAGAGGACCAUUUGAGACCAAUCAAACCCAGAGACAAAGUGAUCAUUAUGCUAGCAACGGCAGAGAAAUGAAGAUAGAAAAUAGAUUUUUAAGCAAGUCAUAGAACGUGGUGUAGAUAGAUGAUAAAUUAUGUUAUAUAUAAAUGUGGAUCAAAGCCAGUGAUGUUAAUUUGGAAAGAAAUGAGGACAAAAAAGGAAAAAAGCAACAUGGAAAGAAAGGCCAAUACACAAACUUGAUCAAGAGACAAAACAUACUUUGAAUCAUAAUGCCACAAAUAUCAUAAUUUAAUUCCAGGUGGAACCAGCUGACAGUGUUAAAGUUAUUUUUAAGAAACUAUAAGAAAAGAAACAUGGAUGGAGCUGAGAUACAAGACUAUAAUGCCACAAAUAAUCAUAAUUUAAUAACUAAAUUCAAUUUUCACAACUUGUAUUCAGCAUAAUGUAUAGAAUUCAAUUUCAUUUAGACCAUUUUAUGUGGUUGGAAUCAAACUAAUUAAUGUGAUUUGAACUGAAAUUGCAAUUCACACAAAGUGGACAAAUAGCAAUUCAUAUUUAUUUCAACGUCAUUAUAAAUUUAUCUAUGAACAUGCUUCACUUUAAAUUACCUGUUCAUAAUGUUUAACAAAUGCUCACAACUUUCCUUCUUUUACUUGCAUUUUUAGCCAGUAGUGUGGAAAAUUCAUUUCAAUUUAACUUUGUUCUUCCAACUAGGCAACUACUGAACUGAAAUGCAAAUUCAACUCAUCAUAAUAUAACAAAUGUGAAGUCAGUGUUAAUUCAUUCAUGAAUUUGUCCCAGACAUUUAGUAAACAAAAAAUAUCAUGCAUUUCCAAUGAGGCUUUCUGGCACCAAAGCGGUGAAUACAAAAUGACAAAGGCAACUCUUGGGAUAGGAUGAGGCUAGAAUUGAGAUUUUGUUGGUUUUUCCAAGAUGAAGCCAUAAUGUGGACUGUCCAGAAAAAAGAGGCCAGUGCUCCAUGACUUAUAUGGUACACACUAGACAUAAAUUUCAAGAAGAAUCGGAAGAAUAUCAUGACACUUCACUGAAUAAGCACCAAAAAGCAAUUAAAAUUUCAAUGCCUCUACAACUUGAUCAAAAAGAAAUCCUGAAUUUUUUUAAAAUAAUUUAACAAAUAAAUCCACGCUUUUUUCAGGCCCAGCGGACCUAAUUAUGUUGAGGCUAAUGAACUAUACUUUUAGUAGUUUUGGGGCAAAAUAAAAUUCUAUUUGACGCAUCAAACUAGAAAAUAUAUAUCCAUUUCCAAAAUGCACCAAAGAAUUUUAGAGUUUCAGUGGGGUUAGAAGCAGUGUACAUCCGCAUUUGGUGGUACAUCCCUUUUGCUUUUAAUUUACUUGUUAUGGAAAGUCAAUAUUAUAUUCCUAUUUAGUUUAGGAUUUAUAUUGUUAUGUGUUAAUUUAUUUAGAAAGAAAGAGAAUACAAGAAGGAAAUAGAGGAAAAGGCAAAACCAAAAAAGGCUACAUCUUUACUCAAUUUCCGUUUAACUUCUCAUAAUGCAUGGUACAUAUUUAAAAUGAAAAACUACAAGAAAUAGAUAAGGAAGGCUUCUAA